UACAGAGAUGGAAACCGUGGAGAAAGAGCCUUCUAUUGACUUCCACAAAAAUGUACAUGGCAUGCUUAUCAAAUCUGUAAAUGCCACAAAGCUGGGAGAGAGUAUGAUUGGAUUGCAUUGGUCCAAUAACCUAUCCUUAAAAGGAAAUGCCAUGUGUUGCCCAAAGGAAGUGUGGUUUGAGAAUGUCUAUACUCUAUCACCUAAGUACUUCUUCCACAUCUCACCUGGUGAAAUCCUGCUCUACCUUCAAGACCCAGAUAAGAAGCAUACUUUCUCUACUUCAUCUCCCUCCAACUUCUACCCCAUAACAAAAUGUUGUUAGCUUACGUGACAGCUUACCUCAUUGAGGAGACCCUAGGGCUGAAUACAACCAGCACAAAGUCAUCACAAGACAGGAGCAUCUGGAGAAUCUCUCCAUCUGUAAGGAGUGAAAUAAGUGAAUGAAAACACAUUUGUUAUGUGCUUGUUACAGCAAUAAACGCUGGAAAUAGAAAUGCAAAAACCUAGACUUUCCUUGGAUUAAAAAAGCUUGUGUUCUAAUAG
rnacentral:lncRNA from 1 species